CCGGCCUUCACAGAGGCGAAUUCCUUCUCUGUUCACAGCUUUUUCCUCCGUUUUUUUUCCUCUCUCUUCUUACUCCAUUCCUUCCUGGAGCCCCUCCAAGACAAUCGGCACCCGGCUCCACUUGGCGGCCACAAAGCCUCUUUGACGGCCCAGGUCCAACAGCGGGCGGCGGGGGUGGAGGCUGGGGCGGCAGACGCUGGAGGCCGGCAGGGCCCCGGCUGGGUCCGGCUGGCUGGGACGGGACAGAGGGAGUCUUCUGCUGGGGCUGGUGAGGCCUGAAUCAGCCCCGGGGGUGUUGGGGUGGGGGUGUCUCUUGUACACGGGUGUCAGACCCAGACUUCCCUGCCAAAGGCUCUGCCCAGAUGAGCCUGCUGUGAAAUCGGUGCUCCCUGCCCGGCCAGCUGGGAGCUGCGUGCCCAGAGCUCAGCACCUCCCAGCUCCUCUGGUGGAAGAACAGAUGGCUAGAGCCUGCUCGGGGCCAUCCCUUGUGCCCCAGGUCGUUUUGGGGCAGGCUUACCUCACCGGCACCUCCUGGCCCAAGGCCUUGGAGCACCGUUCCCCUGACCCCGCGUCUCUCCUCAGAGCUGGGUUCUGAGUGUGGGCGUCCAGCCAGCCAGGGACCAGGCCUUGCUGGGGGCCCAGGCCCACCUGGGACGGGAUGGUGCUUGCCAUGGAGGAUGGUGCUUGCCCGUGGAUUGCCUGUCCACCUCCAAGGGCUUGGGUGGGCUUGCAAACAGUGGUGCUCAUUAAAUGCUUGGUUGGGGCCAGGUGCGGUGGCUCACACCUGUAAUCCCAGCACUUUGGGAGGCCGAGGCAGGUGGAUCACAAGGUCAGGAGAUUGAGACCAUCCUGGCCAACAUGGUGAAACCCCGUCUCUACUAAAAAUACAACAAAUUAGCCGGGCAUGGUGGCAUGCGCCUGUAAUUCCAGCUACUCGGGAAGCUGAGGUAAGAGAAUCGCUUGAACCCAGAAGGUGGACGUUGCAGUGAGCCGAGAUCGCGCCACUCUACUCCAGCCUGGGCGACAGAGGAAGACUCCAUCUCAAAAAAAAAAAGAAAAAAAAGCUUGGUCGGAGGAGCUGCUGGACUUACGCUGUUGAGGCCUGUGGUGCAGGGCAGUGUUGGUGAGGCUUGGCCACUCUCCCCUCCUGGGAGCAGAAACCUGACUCCCUUUGACUUCCAAAAGCCAACCCUGCACAUGGGCACCCCAGGGACCUGGGGUCAGGGAGGCCUGGCCACAGAGGGACGGCAGAGCCACUCAUUCCUGGCCUGGCAUGGUAGACGGGCAGUGGCAGACAUUGCCAGACACAGGGGCGGGG
rnacentral:lncRNA from 10 species